GGCUUCACAUACCGCGAAUCCUCUUAAAAGAGAGGGGUGCCUUUGGGAAUGCAGAUAUAGAUGGUGCAUGGUUGUCAUCAGCUCAUGCUGUAAGGUAUUGGAUUAAGUCCCGCAACGAGUGCAACCCUCGUGUUUAGUUUUCACGAUUGAGUUUGGAACUCUGAGUAGACUACUGGUGAUAAGCAGGAGGAAGGUGAGGAUGACAUCAAAUCAUCAUGCCUAUUAUGCC
rfam:Gossypium arboreum cultivar AKA8401 contig_11434_1, whole genome shotgun sequence.